AUUGAACGCUGGCGGCAUGCCUUACAAAUGCAAGUCGAACGGUAACAGGUCUUCGGAUGCUGACGAGUGUCGAACGGGUGAGUAAUACAUCGGAACGUGCCCGAUCGUGGGGGAUAACGAAGCGAAAGCUUUGCUAAUACCGCAUACGAUCUACGGAUGAAAGCAGGGGACCGCAAGGCCUUGCGCGAACGGAGCGGCCGAUGGCAGAUUAGGUAGUUGGUGGGAUAAAAGCUUACCAAGCCGACGAUCAGUAGCUGGGCUGAAUGGACGACCAGCCAUACUGGGACUGAGACAAGGCCCAGACUCCUACGGGUGGCAGCAGUGGUGAAUUUUUGACAAUGGGCGAAAGCCUGAUCCAGCCAUGCUGCGUGCAGGAUGAAGGCCUUCGGGUUGUGAACUGCUUUUGUACGGAACGAAAAGACUCUGGUUAAUACCUGGGGUCCAUGACGGUACCGUAAGAAUAAGCACCGGCUAACUACGUGCCAGCCGCCGCAGUAA
rnacentral:rRNA from 1 species